AGUGAACGCUGGCGGUAGGCCUAACACAUGCAAGUCGAACGGCAGCACCGUAAGAGCUUGCUCUUACGGGUGGCGAGUGGCGGACGGGUGAGGAAUACAUCGGAAUCUACUUUUUCGUGGGGGAUAACGUAGGGAAACUUACGCUAAUACCGCAUACGACCUACGGGUGGAAGCAGGGGAUCUUCGGACCUUUCGCGAUUGUAGCGGCCGAUGUCUGAUUAGCUAGUUGGCGGGGUAAAGGCGCACCAAGGCGACGAUCAGUAGCUGGUCUGAGAGGAUGACCAGCCACACUGGGACGGAGACACGGCCCAGACUCCUACGGGAGGCAGCAGUGGGGAAUCUUGCGCAAUGGGCGAAAGCCUGACGCAGCCAUGCCGCGUGAAUGAUGAAGGUCUUAGGAUUGUAAGAUUCUUUCACCGGGGACGAUAAUGACGGUACCCGGAGAAGAAGCCCCGGCUAACUUCGUG
rnacentral:rRNA from 1 species